rnacentral:rRNA from 1 species
UACGUAGGGAGCAAGCGUUGUCCGGAAUUACUGGGCGUAAAGGGUGCGUAGGCGGUUUGGAAAGUCAGAUGUGAAAUCCCCGGGCUUAACUCGGGUGUUGCAUUUGAAACUUCCAGACUUGAGUGCAGGAGAGGAAAGCGGAAUUCCUAGUGUAGCGGUGAAAUGCGUAGAUAUUAGGAGGAACACCAGUGGCGAAGGCGGCUUUCUGGACUGUAACUGACGCUGAGGCACGAAAGCGUGGGGAGCAAACAGGAUUAGAUACCCUGGUAGUCCACGCUGUAAACGAUGGAUACUAGGUGUGGGGGAGAUACAACCUCCGUGCCGGAGCAAACGCAAUAAGUAUCCCGCCUGGGGAGUACGGUCGCAAGGCUGAA